GAGGAAAGUCCGGGCUCCAUAGGGCAGGAAUAACGGGUAACGCCCGCCGAAGGCGACUUCAGGACAAGUGCAACAGAGAUAUACCGCCGCGCGUCCGUCCCGAAUUUUUUCAAAACCUUGGUUUUGAAAAAAAGAGGAGGAGCAGCGAAAUGAGUAAGCUUUGCCGCUUGCGGCAAAGCGAACGAUAUGGAGCUUGCGACGACGCGGUAAGGGUGGAAAGGCGAGGUAAGAGCUCACCCAUCAACUGGAGACAGAUUGGUGCUGUAAACUCUAUUCGGAGCAACACCGUGGAGGGACAUGAAGGCCGGCCCGGCCGUCCCGAGGAGGUGGCUUGAGCCUGUCGGCAACGGCAGGCCUAGACAGAUGGUCGUUCAAGACAGAAUCCGGCUUACAGACUUACUCGCAAA
rnacentral:RNase_P_RNA from 1 species